rnacentral:misc_RNA from 1 species
UUUCCGUAGGUGAACCUGCGGAAGGAUCAUUCAUAAUAAAGUGUUUUAUGGCACUUUUUAAAAAUCCAUAUCCACCUUGUGUGCAAUGUUAGAUCUCGUCAAUCUUGGCGAGAUUUUUAUACAUCAACUCAUUUUUUAACUAAUUUGUCUGAAAAAUAUUAUGAAUACUUAAUCCAAAAUACAACUUUCAACAACGGAUCUCUUGGCUCUC